AUACUUACCUGACAGAGAGACACCAUGAGCAGGAAGAGGUUUUCCUAGAGUGAGGCUCAUCCAUUGUUCUUGGGGUGUGCUGACCCCUGAGAUUUCCCUAAAUUCGGAAAGCUUGAGUGCAUACCCAGUGGUAGUGGGGGCUGCAUACCCACU
rnacentral:snRNA from 1 species